rnacentral:lncRNA from 1 species
AACCUCAUUUUCUUGGAUCAUGUUAAGUUUAUGUGAUGGUUGAUCAAGUAUAGCUUUCUGUUUAGGACAAUCAACAUAGUACCAAUGGUUAACAAAGAAAGCAAGACAUAUCAGUGUGUGCAAUCUAUAUGGGCUGUGUUCGUGUUUCUCAGUCCAGUUUGCUUUGUUGAAAUUUGUGUACUGAUAUUUGCAUUUAGGCCUUUUUUUAAAGCCAUUGCUUUAUCAGUUUAUUUAUUUUUACCUACGAGUUUAAAUGCCCCUUUGGUAUCUUUCGCCUUUCUUUUUACAGAUAUAGAUGACUUUUAAACAGUAAAAAAUAUUCAAUUAUGAAGAUCAAUCUAUAAAGAUAAGAAAGGAAUUUGUCAGGAGCUAUUUCCAUUGAAAGACUUUUUUUCAUUCAACUUUUAAGCUUAUUUUACAGAAACUACCGUAUGAUAAAUUGGCAGAAAAUUUGAAAAUCAAGUGUUCAACAAAGUAAGACCUACAAAUUAGUAAACAUGACCAAAAUUAUCAAUUGAUCGACCCCUGAUAGGAGUUUCUGCCCUAGACAAACUGUUUACCAAUUUGUUUAAUUUUUCAAAGAUAGAAAGGGAGAUAUGAUACUAGUAGAAAUAAAAAAACUUCAAAUACCAAUAAUGUUCAGCAAAGUUAAAGUAAGACCUACAAAUAAGUCAGAUGACUGAAAUUAUCAACUGAUCCUUUUUACCAAGUCAGGAAUAUUUUUAUGAUUUAACUUUUUAUAUGAUUAAAAGAUUAUGUUAUUAAACUUUUUAUAUGAUUAAACAUGUUAAAAG